CUCUCCACGCUCUCGGAAUUUUCAAGAUUCGAGCCGCCUUGUUUUUAAUUGAAUUCUACUCUCCGCGGGGAUCACACAGAUUAUUCAAACGCACUUUGCUCAUGUCGAUUCUGACGUGUUUCUAACCUAUCAAUUUUUUCUCACGUUAAAUUGUGACUUCGGGGACUUGAGUUCCAACCAAAUUUUGUGCUUCUUUUCGCUUCAUUACUAGCGUUAUAAGCGAAGCAUUUAAAAGAUUCUUCAACUUAUGGCCGUGUACACAGUUCUAUUUUUUUGAGGCUCGAAGCUCGGCCUCUGAUCCAACGUUCGACAAAACAGAGUUGAGCGCAUAGUGACAUCUCGCGGCGCUUAAAAAAAGCGAUGACGCGACUGUUUUAGCGACUGAAAAAUGCUACAACUUCAACUAAAUAAUCAUCAUCACGAAAUCGCCCAUCCACGGUUAUCAAGAUACGACGUGUGGCUAGUCUUUGGAGUUGAAAAACUAUCUUCUGAGUAUACUUGACGCCGAGACGCUCGCCCCGUGUGUUCAGAUUGUCGUCCCAAUUCCAAGUCAAUCAGUAAUUUCGAAGGAGAUAAACCCACCUAAUCAUCAAAUUGAAAAAUCAAUAAAAUUGUUAGCGCAAAUACCAUGAAAUUCGAUACGUUCGUGAACAAAGAUAAUGAAAAUCGUUUGAAAACGUUUCAAACACUCACCGUCCUCGCAAUCAGGAACCUUCUCGUUGAAAACACACCUCAAUGUUUUUGGAUCAAAUGAAUGCGUCUGGACAGCACAUGAAUGAAGGACCCCUGUACCACUCGAACAACCAACGAAUAGCUUACAGUUUUCCGGAUAUACAAUAUUUCCAGACCAUCCCGGAGGACAGGUCGGUACCACAUCCCACUUAUCAAUGAAAGUUGUCUAAAAAUUCAUAUUUAUUUAUAUGCAUAAAAAAAUAAUUAAAUAGUAUCGUGAUAAAUGAUCAAUUUAAAAAUCAUUUUACAAGCUGCCUCAAUUUUUCUAGAUGUCAAAAUAAAUGACACUUACGCGUGCUGACGAGUUUGUCGCAACGUAACUCAGAACGAACAGCACUGCAAUACUCAUUUGCAGUGCUAAUGCCAUUUCGUAGUCUUUGUAUUUUUCGAGCAAGUCGUUUCACUGUACCGAAUAAUAUUCAUAUUGAAUAUAUUUUUUUUUUUCUCAAUUUUGAUUCUAUUGAAAAAGGGCUGAUAAUGAAACUUAUGAAGGCCCAAACCGUUGAAUCUCAUAAACAUUCGAACCUUAUUAUGACUUUUUAUAAAAUAAAAGCCCAAUGUCGGUUCCAAUUAUGAAAGAAAAUAUGAAAAAUCGAGAUUGGAAGAAACAUGCACUAAAAAUAGGUGUCUUUGAAAGUAUGAAAAUUCAUUAUAGACACAAAUGUCAACCGAAUCAUAAACGAAUCGCCAAAAAAUUGACAUUUUUUGUUAGAAAAAAAAUGUAAGAACGAUCGAAUUUUUGAAAAAGCUUCCUUUGAGUAAAUUUUUUUUUUCAAACAUCGUGAGAAUUGACGGAAUGUUUUUCCAAAUUUGGUUAAAAUUAUUUAAAAAAAAAGAAACUUACUUGCCUUUCUUAGCCAAAGCAAUUGACUAAGGUUCCAGGUAGACUUUGACUCGAUUGAGUUCUGAAUUCGACUUUUUAUAGCCAAUAUUAGACACCAUCAUCUACGUCAAUCUUAAUUAAACAGACGUUUAGAUCCAACUGUAUUAACAAAAUUCAAAAGAUAUGCUAAUAAUGGAAUAAAGAAAAAUUGAGGAGGAAUGACCCGGUAAUUGACCACAAUUGGCAUACGAAAUAUUUCCAACAAUUAGCUAAGCUAGGUUGAUAACAAUUCGUUACACAAACGAACGAUGACUACAUCAAAAGUGUGUCAAUAACCAUUUAAUUUCAUCACUUUCAUUACAUUCGUUGUAUAAAUUUAUAAUUAUUUUUGAAUUCAGACCGAAGAUGUGAAUUCAAGAACGAAAAUAUAUUUGUGGCGUUCGAUCUAAGCAUGAAAAUCCAUAAUAUUUCUUUCUUUCAGUCCCAACCGUCACAUGUUGGCUUUCGGUACAGAAGCUACGCCGCCGUGAGGAUUAUAAUAUUUCGCUUCGAGGGCAUUCAGUUUCGCGACUUCUUUUGCUUUAUUCAACGAAAAUAAUCCAUAACGCCCUUCGAAUUUAUCGCGGAAACAUUUUUUCCCAUGAUUGCACAAUCGAAUUGUACAAAGAAUGAAGAUGAUAACAAAAAAAAAAAAAAAGUUCUCAUAUAAAAUGAAAAAUAAUCAAAUCGAUCAUUGAAUGAGAACUAGCGACUUCUCCCGAUGCCAACUAAAGUCUGUUAUGUUUAUAAUAUAUUUUUAUUUCAUAUAACUUUUUUUUUGUUAUUAUCUUCAUUCUUGUACAAUCAUUCAACUUUGACAAAAUUAUAUUUAAAUUUGCGUAUGUUUGCAUAUAAAUGACUUAUCUACAAUCAAUCAAUAUCGACCACAGGAAUCAAAUCUCAAAGGAGUUGCACUUGACAAUCAAACAGUUUCUUAGUUAUCUUAAUUAUAUUCCAUCUAUUUUAUUUCAGACUUUUUCACGGUUACUACUGUUUUCUUAAGUAAAGAAGUUUCAAAGGAUCAAUCACUUUUCGAUAAUGUAUAUUUUUUUUAAUUCAUUUUUUCUCGUUUUCAUUUUAUUUGCAGUACGCUAUUCGGCUCUGUGCGCGCUUACACGUAAUACUACUUUAAAAGUGAGCGUGUGUCGUGUAUACGUAUAUAGUUCUGUAUGCCUCCAAAAACGCCGGAGCCCCCUUUAUGGUGGCGCUAGCAGUAUGCAUGAAUACACUAAUACUAUUAGUCCAGUAGUAUUAGAUUUUUGGCUUGGCCCACGCGCACGAAGCGAAUAGGAUUUUUUCAGUCGGGAGUUAAAAUCGAGCAUUGGACUACCGAUCGACCGCGAAUCGCAUUCGAAUUGAUCUCGUAGCGACAUCUCCGGCGUUUAAAAAAAGCGAUGACACGGCAGUUUUAGCGACUCAGAAUAAAUGGUAUAAUCUAUUUGAGAAAAUGCCUUAAGCUUCACUAUUGGGAUCUGACAUGGAGGCGUGGCCUAAAAUUAAAAUGGCGCAGAUGAGGGUGCAAUCGCAUGGGUUAAGCCCGUGUAUGAUAUAGGCUCACCAUGUAAAUAUAGCAUUAGUUAUAAAUAUUUAGGAUAAAUAAUGGUAGUUUUAAUAAAAAGUGAUAUUUAUCGAUGGUCCGGUUCAAUUCAUAGUCAUUAAAAAUUCUUUUUUCUUUUUUUUUCUCUUUUUUUCUUUUUCUAUUUUAUUUUUUUCUUUUUUUGGAUUAUUCGUGAGGUGUAAACACAUCUACUCCCAUUUUUGUUUAAUUUUGGGCAAAAACACUAAUUUUAAUUGAUAUGUAUCAAUGAGCAAUGCACCCCGGUUAUAGUUGGAAAAUUCAACACCAGAUGUCUCACGAAUUUUGUCAGAUCCCAAUAGUGAGACAACCGCGGAGCCAACACAACGAGAACAAUAAUAAUAAUAAUAAAUACGGUUUUCCUACCACUUGGAUAAUUGUUUCAAAUCGUUUAUUUAUUUUUUUUAUACGUAUUUUCGAGUAAUGCUUAGUAAAUCGAGCGUUCACGAUUAUCGAAAUAUACGUCGUGACUCAUC
rnacentral:lncRNA from 1 species